rnacentral:tRNA from 3 species
GGGGCAUUAGCUUAGUUGGCUAGAGCGCCGCGUUUGCACCGCGGAGGUCGAGGGUUCGACUCCCUCAUGCUCCACCA